GGACCCUUAGCUCAGCCAGGUCAGAGCACCCGGCUCAUACCCGGAGGGUCGGAGGUUCGAAGCCUCCAGGGUCCA
rnacentral:tRNA from 1 species